rnacentral:rRNA from 1 species
CUACGAGGGGUGCAAGCGUUAAUCGGAAUUACUGGGCGUAAAGCGUUCGUAGGCGGUUUGUUAAGCAAGAUGUGAAAGCCCUGGGCUCAACCUGGGAACUGCAUUUUGAACUGGCAAGCUAGAAUACUGUAGAGGGUGGUGGAAUUUCCAGUGUAGCGGUGAAAUGCGUAGAGAUUGGAAGGAACAUCAGUGGCGAAGGCGGCCACCUGGACAGAUACUGACGCUGAGGAACGAAAGCGUGGGGAGCGAACAGGAUUAGAAACCCCAGUAGUCC